rnacentral:rRNA from 1 species
CACGUAGGGUGCGAGCGUUGUCCGGAAUUAUUGGGCGUAAAGAGCUCGUAGGCGGUGUGUCGCGUCGGCCGUGAAAACCUGCAGCUUAACUGUGGGCUUGCGGUCGAUACGGGCAUCACUGGAGUUCGGCAGGGGAGACUGGAAUUCCUGGUGAUAGCGGUGAAAUGCGCAGAUAUCAGGAGGAACACCGGUGGCGAAGGCGGGUCUCUGGGCCGAUACUGACGCUGGAGGAGCGAAA